UCCUCAGUAGCUCAGUGGUAGAGCGGUCAGCUGUUAACCAUUUGGUCGUAGGUUCGAAUCCUACUUGGGGAG
rnacentral:tRNA from 1 species